GCCUUGGGGGCGUGCUAUACAUGCAAGUCGAACGAACUCUGGUAUUGAUUGGUGCUUGCAUCAUGAUUUACAUUUGAGUGAGUGGCGAACUGGUGAGUAACACGUGGGAAACCUGCCCAGAAGCGGGGGAUAACACCUGGAAACAGAUGCUAAUACCGCAUAACAACUUGGACCGCAUGGUCCGAGUUUGAAAGAUGGCUUCGGCUAUCACUUUUGGAUGGUCCCGCGGCGUAUUAGCUAGAUGGUGGGGUAACGGCUCACCAUGGCAAUGAUACGUAGCCGACCUGAGAGGGUAAUCGGCCACAUUGGGACUGAGACACGGCCCAAACUCCUACGGGAGGCAGCAGUAGGGAAUCUUCCACAAUGGACGAAAGUCUGAUGGAGCAACGCCGCGUGAGUGAAGAAGGGUUUCGGCUCGUAAAACUCUGUUGUUAAAGAAGAACAUAUCUGAGAGUAACUGUUCAGGUAUUGACGGUAUUUAACCAGAAAGCCACGGCUAACUACGUGCCAGCAGCCGCGGUAAUACGUAGGUGGCAAGCGUUGUCCGGAUUUAUUGGGCGUAAAGCGAGCGCAGGCGGUUUUUUAAGUCUGAUGUGAAAGCCUUCGGCUCAACCGAAGAAGUGCAUCGGAAACUGGGAAACUUGAGUGCAGAAGAGGACAGUGGAACUCCAUGUGUAGCGGUGAAAUGCGUAGAUAUAUGGAAGAACACCAGUGGCGAAGGCGGCUGUCUGGUCUGUAACUGACGCUGAGGCUCGAAAGUAUGGGUAGCAAACAGGAUUAGAUACCCUGGUAGUCCAUACCGUAAACGAUGAAUGCUAAGUGUUGGAGGGUUUCCGCCCUUCAGUGCUGCAGCUAACGCAUUAAGCAUUCCGCCUGGGGAGUACGGCCGCAAGGCUGAAACUCAAAGGAAUUGACGGGGGCCCGCACAAGCGGUGGAGCAUGUGGUUUAAUUCGAAGCUACGCGAAGAACCUUACCAGGUCUUGACAUACUAUGCAAAUCUAAGAGAUUAGACGUUCCCUUCGGGGACAUGGAUACAGGUGGUGCAUGGUUGUCGUCAGCUCGUGUCGUGAGAUGUUGGGUUAAGUCCCGCAACGAGCGCAACCCUUAUUAUCAGUUGCCAGCAUUAAGUUGGGCACUCUGGUGAGACUGCCGGUGACAAACCGGAGGAAGGUGGGGAUGACGUCAAAUCAUCAUGCCCCUUAUGACCUGGGCUACACACGUGCUACAAUGGAUGGUACAACGAGUUGCGAACUCGCGAGAGUAAGCUAAUCUCUUAAAGCCAUUCUCAGUUCGGAUUGUAGGCUGCAACUCGCCUACAUGAAGUCGGAAUCGCUAGUAAUCGCGGAUCAGCAUGCCGCGGUGAAUACGUUCCCGGGCCUUGUACACACCGCCCGUCACACCAUGAGAGUUUGUAACACCCAAAGUCGGUGGGGUAACCUUUUAGGAACCAGCCGCCUAAGGGGAACAGAAUG
rnacentral:rRNA from 1 species